GAUGUAAGUAACAGAAGAUUGAGGAAGACCUAUGUACUCCAUUCCAUUUCCCCAUGUCUGAUCUGGCGAAGGCAAGUCUGGCGGAAGAGGAUCAAGUUUUAUUGGGCCACAAGCCAGAUGGGACGUUCCAUGCUCCAUUUUUUGUUAAAUGGGUCAGGGAAGUGGGGAAGUUGGGAGCUGCAGACGGGAGUCGAAUGGGAGCCAAAGCCACCAAAUGGAGCUGAAGAGGAAGCCACAAAGGACAACAAAGAAGCCAAUUUGAAGAAGGACCUUUUUUGUUUGGAGAGAUGGGAAUGGAAGAAUUUGAUUGGCCUGCACCGAUGCAAGUCAAAGUUGAUCCCCAACUUUAGCACCCAACAUUGUUAUGUAUAAAUGGAACCUAAUCCCACCAACAAUAUUCCAACAUCUAGUGGAAAUCUUUCCCAGAAGAGAAGAGGGUAAGAUUUUUUUUUGUAUCAUUCCUAAAUGUGAAUGUACUAAACAGAAGAAUAAUGAUCCAUGAGAAGAUGUGUCUAUUUUAAAUUUCCUAAACUUUACAGACAAGGAAAAACUCCUUAAAACGACAUUUUACAUAUAAAUGUAAAAACAUAAAAAGCUUUUAUUGCUUAAUUUUGCUGCUUUUUUAAGGUACAAAAUGUCUUUAGGUCAUUGCUUUGUAGAAAAACCAGUAAUCAGUUCCUAGUUUUAUGCAUGUAUUUUUUUUCCCUUUGAAAACAAUAAAAAAAACCUUUGGUGUUGCUAAGCAUGAGAAGAUUGUGAUUUAUGUAUUGU